UACGUAGGGGGCAAGCGUUGUCCGGAUUUAUUGGGCGUAAAGGGCGCGUAGGCGGCUUUGCAAGUGACGGGUGAAAUCCCUCGGCUUAACCGAGGAACUGCCUGUCAGACUGCAUGGCUUGAGACCAGGAGAGGUGAGUGGAAUUCCCAGUGUAGCGGUGAAAUGCGUAGAUAUUGGGAGGAACACCAGUGGCGAAGGCGGCUCACUGGACUGGUACUGACGCUGAGGCGCGAAAGCCAGGGGAGCAAACGGG
rnacentral:rRNA from 1 species